GAUGAACGCUGGCGGCGUGCCUAAUACAUGCAAGUCGAGCGAACAGACGUGGAGCUUGCUCCUCUGACGUUAGCGGCGGACGGGUGAGUAACACGUGGAUAACCUACCUAUAAGACUGGGAUAACUUCGGGAAACCGGAGCUAAUACCGGAUAAUAUAUUGAACCGCAUGGUUCAAUAGUGAAAGACGGUUUUGCUGUCACUUAUAGCUGGAUCCGCGCCGCAUUAGCUAGUUGGUAAGGUAACGGCUUACCAAGGCAACGAUGCGUAGCCGACCUGAGAGGGUGAUCGGCCACACUGGAACUGAGGCACGGUCCAGACUCCUACGGGAGGCAGCAGUAGGGAAUCUUCCGCAAUGGGCGAAAGCCUGACGGAGCAACGCCGCGUGAGUGAUGAAGGUCUUCGGAUCGUAAAACUCUGUUAUUAGGGAAGAACAAAUGUGUAAGUAACUAUGCACGUCUUGACGGUACCUAAUCAGAAAGCCACGGCUAACUACGUG
rnacentral:rRNA from 1 species